rnacentral:lncRNA from 1 species
GGAGCCCUAUUUAUAGUUGAACCCAUGAUUGCAUAACUGCCAACUGGGAACCCAAGUUGCAAUGCAACAUCUUCUAAUGUGUCAGUGUCCGAGCACCAUCGGAUCACCGUGAACUCAAACAUACCUUAAAACUAUCACAAUUUCUCUGUAACGCCCAAAAUUUUUAUUUUUGUUCUUGCAAAUGUGUGACACAACUGUGUAUCUCCUUCAGUGGUUAAGUGUUUUGGGUGUGUGAGAGGUCCCAAGUUCAAGCCAGG